rnacentral:tRNA from 1 species
GCCGCGAUAGCUCAGUUGGGAGAGCGUCAGACUGAAGGGAGAGUAUAUUUGAGAAAUCUGAAGGUCGCUGGUUCAAUUCCGGCUCGCGGCA